AGAGAGAGAGAGAGAGAGAGAGAGAGAGAGAGAGAGAGAGAGAGACGUAAGUGGUGCGUAUAAAAGUAUAUGCAUAAAUUCAUCUUUUUAUUUAAUUCUCAUUUUAUUUUGGUCAUAUACUUGCCGGGAGAUGUUGCAAAAUAUUUAUUGACUUGUUAGAUACUAUUAAUGUUGACAGUGCAAUAUGCUACAUAACAUGAAGCAUGUCUCUCUACAAUUAAGUAGGUUUAUGGGAGAGAUGAGUGAUCGAGAGAAAAAGAGAGAAAGAAUCUUAAAUGCAGACUGAAUCAUAUUGCAUUACUAAUCGGCUGGGCUGGUUUCCGCCGAAUCAUUUUACCUACUCAAAGCUGAACAAAGUAAUUUAUUAGAGUUUGUCCCUACCAUGCCAUGUUGAAACAACACGAUGGAACUCACAAGUUAAAUUCUCGUUUUUUAAGUUCUUAAAUUACACCAUGCAAACAAUUGCAUAUACCUUUUUGAGUUGUUGAUUUUUUGUCUCUUAAAAAGGUGUUAACGUUACCUAAGGGAAAACCCAUGCGACAGGUUGUUUUGACCUCCUAAUAAUUUGUCUUAUUAAGCCCAACAUGUGACUAGGUGUGAUGCACACGUCUGAGUCUGUGUUGAAUUAACACGAAUGGAGUACCAAGUGCCCCUUCACCUUGUUUGACACCAGACGUCAUGUAUAAACGUGUAUCAUUUUUCUAUAUGAAUACAACAUUCCUAAACAGGUAUAGCAAGUUUUUUUUUAACUGGUGCAACAUCGGAAUAGGUAGAUUUUAAAGUAUUACGAAAUCCACAACGGAUUUUUCCCCUACACGUACUUUUAAAAACCAGGCUAAAAGGUUCCAUUUUUGCAUCAAGAAAAAACAACGUUGCGAAUUUGAAACAUGGCAUGGCUCUCUGGAAUGCUAAACAAUUUACAUUAAAUUACUUAAUUUGCAUAAAGUCUUAUAAAUUAGAUUUCUUAAUGAAACAAAAAUUGUUUUACUGCGUUGAGCGCAACUCUCUGAUUCGACUUUAAUUACUUUCAUUGAUUCAUUACAUGUGUUGGAUAUAUUGUUAUUGAUGAUGUAUGAUUUGAAUGGGAUAUUUUUGUUCAGUGUGUACAUGUGUUGUAAGUUUAAUAGUCUAUGCACUCUAUUUCCAAUUACAUCACAAGUCUUAUUUUACAAUUAAUUCAUGUUAUAUAUUGCUGUAUGUAUACAUGUGUAAUUUUAGUGGUGCUAAACAUGUUUAAAAACUCGUGAUUGUUAGAUUAAUGAAUUGAUCAAUGUUAACUUAGUAUUUACACCAAUGAAAUCUUAAACAUGAUUUUACAAAUUG
rnacentral:misc_RNA from 1 species